ensembl:Y_RNA Y_RNA Y RNA
GGCUAGUCCAAAUGCAGUUGCGUUCACAACUAGUUGAUCAGAACCAGUAAGAGAUUUCUUUGUUCCUUCUCCACUUUCCAGUUCCUCACUUGACUAGCCUGAA